rnacentral:rRNA from 1 species
AUUGAACGCUGGCGGAAUGCUUUACACAUGCAAGUCGAACGGCAGCACGGGGCAACCUGGUGGCGAGUGGCGAACGGGUGAGUAAUACAUCGGAACGUGCCCAAUCGUGGGGGAUAACGUAGCGAAAGUUACGUUAAUACCGCAUACGAUCUACGGAUGAAAGCGGGGGAUCGCAAGACCUCGCGCGAAUGGAGCGGCCGAUGUCAGAUUAGGUAGUUGGUGGGGUAAAGGCUCACCAAGCCGACGAUCUGUAGCUGGUCUGAGAGGACGACCAGCCACACUGGGACUGAGACACGGCCCAGACUCCUACGGGAGGCAGCAGUGGGGAAUUUUGGACAAUGGGCGCAAGCCUGAUCCAGCCAUUCCGCGUGCAGGAUGAAGGCCUUCGGGUUGUAAACUGCUUUUGUACGGAGCGAAAAGGCGCUCUCUAAUACAGGGGGCUCAUGACGGUACCGUAAGAAUAAGCACCGGCUAACUACGUGCCAGCCGCCGCUGUAACAC